GCGGCUCCCUCUAGGGGGCGCCCUGCGCCGUCUCCGCGGGCGCCGACCCCAGCGAGCUCCUCCCGGCCGCCUCGGCCGCCUCAGAAGGCGCCUAACGGCCCAAUUAAGUGAUCCCAGACUGAAACCGCGCCAGCUGCCGCGGAACAAAGCGGGUUUUCAGGGACCUCGGUCCCCUGAGGAAAUCAGGACAAAGCCGUUCACUAGAACUGUAGAGAUCUGAGGCAGGAGAGAGGAAGAAUAGAGAUUUCAGAGACUGAAGGUGCAUGGCAUAAGUGAAGCAUGACUGAAAACACCGCCCAGCAUGUCUGCACAGAUUCACCAGUGUGAGAAGAGAAGAGAGAAGAGCCUUCCCCAAGUAAGGACACAGCAAUAAGAUGCCAUCUUGGGAGCAGAGAGCAAACCUCCACUAGACACUGAAUCUGCCAGCACCUUGACUUCCCAGCCUCUA